rnacentral:misc_RNA from 1 species
CUGGACAAAUUCUUUGACAUGGAGUAUCCGGAUUGUGUUAAGGCUUUUGAGGCUUAUGCUAGCGCAGCCAAGCAGAUUGAUGAACUGAUUGCGUUGUACAAUUGGUGCAAGGAUACUGGCGUGGCUCGAUCCACAGAGUAUCCAGAUGUGCAGAAGAUUACAAGUAAGUUGUUGGAAACUUUGGAGGAGUUUGUAAGGGAUAGGGCGAAACGGCCCAAGAGUCCUGAGAGAAAAGAGGAUUCUCCUCCUGAGCCUAAGGAGGAAGAGCCUGUACCCAAUAUGAAUGAAAUUAAGGCACUGCCUCCGCCGGAGAAUUAUACUCCUCCUCCCCCUACUGAGCCUGAGCCCAAGCCUCAGCAACCACAGGUUACUGAAGAUUUGGUGAAUCUAAGGGAUGAUGCUGUCACUGCAGAUGAUCAGGGGAAUAGAUUGGCUUUGGCCUUGUUUGCUGGACCACCUGCUAAUAAUGGAAAUGGAUCAUGGGAAGCAUUCCCAUCUAAUGGUGAGCCUCAGGUGACCUCAGCUUGGCAGAA